AAAUUGAAGAGUUUGAUCAUGGCUCAGAUUGAACGCUGGCGGCAGGCCUAACACAUGCAAGUCGAACGGUAACAGGAAACAGCUUGCUGUUUCGCUGACGAGUGGCGGACGGGUGAGUAAUGUCUGGGAAACUGCCUGAUGGAGGGGGAUAACUACUGGAAACGGUAGCUAAUACCGCAUAACGUCGCAAGACCAAAGAGGGGGACCUUCGGGCCUCUUGCCAUCGGAUGUGCCCAGAUGGGAUUA
rnacentral:rRNA from 2 species